UCAGCUCCUUGGAGAGCCAGAUGGU
rnacentral:piRNA from 1 species